rnacentral:rRNA from 1 species
UACGCUGGCGGCACGCCUAACACAUGCAAGUCGAACGCAGUAGCAAUACUGAGUGGCAAACGGGUGAGUAUAAUGUGGGAAUCUGCCUUUUGGUUUGGAAUAACACGGGGAAACUUGUGCUAAUACCGAAUAAGCCCUUACGGGGAAAGUUUUAACGCCGAAAGAUGAGCCCGCACUUGAUUAGCUAGUUGGUAAGGUAAAAGCUUACCAAGGCAAUGAUCAAUAGCUGUUCUUAGAGGAAGACCAGCCACAUUGGGACUGAGACACGGCCCAGACUCCUACGGGAGGCAGCAGUGGGGAAUCUUGCACAAUGGGGGAAACCCUGAUGCAGCGAUGCCGCGUGAGUGAAGAAGGCCUUUGGGUUGUAAAACUCUUUCGUCGGGGA